rnacentral:snoRNA from 1 species
UGGUCAUUACCAAGGCUUUUAGAAUGCAGUUUCUCAUUUGCUGUGGACAUGACCAUAAAAAAAUUUCCCAGUAGGUUUUCUAUCUGCUACUUUGGUAGCAAUCAGCUUAUUGGGAACAGUU